UGGGUUGUGGCUCAGUGGUAGAGCACUUGCCUAGCAUGUGUGAGGCACUAGGUUCAAUUCUCAGCACCACAU
rnacentral:tRNA from 1 species